CAGACGUACAGAGAUGUUCUGCAUUAUGUGGACAUUUUUGACCGUAUUCUUAUUUAUUUCGGCUAGUCAAGGAGCACCUACUGUGGCACCUGAAGCCACACAUGUAGGUGUCUCCGAAGACCAAGCCCAGAAGACAGAAGAGUCCAACGCUUCUACAGUCACAGGAUUGCUGAUUGCCACUACAUGCUCCGGCUUGUUUUCUGUAGCGACUACACUGACCUUCUGCAUUUACAUCUGG